UUUGUAAACGGAUAAUAAUAGUAAACAUUAUAACUAUAUGCUAGAAAAACUCUAAUUGCUAAAAAAAAUAAAAUUCAUUACAAGCACAAAAGCCUUUGAUCACUUGCAUACCUGAUAAUCCAAAACUCAAAAAGUACCAGCAAUUCCAUCAUCCUGAAUCCUUAAAGAUUUUACAAAGAAAUCCUUAAAGAUUUUACAAAGAUAGUUUCAAAUAUUAUCAUUUUCUAUCGUCUUAAAUCCUAA
rnacentral:misc_RNA from 1 species